rnacentral:rRNA from 1 species
GUUUCCUACGGGAGGCAGCAGUGGGGGAUAUUGCACAAUGGGGGAAACCCUGAUGCAGCGACGCCGCGUGUGGGAAGACGGUCCUCUGGAUUGUAAACCACUGUCCCCAGGGACGAAGAUGACGGUACCUGGGGAGGAAGCUCCGGCUAACUACGUGCCAGCAGCCGCGGUAAUACGUAGGGGGCAAGCGUUAUCCGGAUUUACUGGGUGUAAAGGGAGCGUAGACGGCAAUACAAGUCGGAAGUGAAAUACCCGGGCUCAACCUGGGAACUGCUUUGGAAACUGUAUGGCUAGAGUGCUGGAGG